UACGGGGGGUGCGAGCGUUGUUCGGAAUUACUGGGUUUAAAGGGUGCGUAGGCGGCUAUGUAAGUCAGGAGUGAAAGUUUGCGGCUCAACCGUAAAAUUGCUUUUGAUACUGCAUAGCUGGAAUUAGGAUGAGGUCAGCGGAAUGUGGCAUGUAGCGGUGAAAUGCAUAGAUAUGCCAUAGAACACCAAUUGCGAAGGCAGCUGGCUAGACCUGGAUUGACGCUGAGGCACGAAAGCGUGGGGAGCGAACAGG
rnacentral:rRNA from 1 species